CUCAGCCUCCUGAGUAGCUUGGACUACAAGUGGGGAAGGGAGAAGUGGAUGGACUGGACUUCUUUGUACUGCCCUGAAGGAAAAUGACUAAGAAGAAACACUUCAGCAACAGCCUUAAAACACUUCAGCAAAAUGAACACUAUCUCUGAUUUGCUGAACAGGAAAAGCCACAAGAGAUUCCCACAACGCCAGCAAUAAGCCAUCUACUCCUGUAAUGGGAACUUAGGAGCCAGAACCAAGAAGGGAGAAAAAAGAAGAGCUAACCCCUUUCUUGCUUCAUUAACCUCUGAAACUACAGUACCUUCAGGGGCU
ensembl:lncRNA INO80-AS1 INO80 antisense RNA 1